rnacentral:rRNA from 1 species
GAUGAACGCUAGCGGCAGGCCUAACACAUGCAAGUCGAACGGUAACAUGAGUAGCAAUACUUGAUGACGAGUGGCGCACGGGCGCGUAACGCGUAUGCAACUUACCUCUAACUGGAGAAUAGCCUUCCGAAAGGAAGAAUAAUACUCCAUAAUAUUACGAUGUGGCAUCACAUUGUUCUUAAAGCUUCGGCGGUUAGAGAUGGGCAUGCGUCUGAUUAGCUUGUUGGUGAGGUAACGGCUCACCAAGGCAACGAUCAGUAGGGGGCCUGAGAGGGUUAUCCCCCACACUGGUACUGAGACACGGACCAGACUCCUACGGGAGGCAGCAGUGAGGAAUAUUGGUCAAUGGACGAAAGUCUGAACCAGCCAUGCCGCGUGCAGGAUGAAUGCCCUAUGGGUUGUAAACUGCUUUUUAUAUAGGAAUAAACCCCUUUACGUGUAAAGGGCUGAAGGUACUAUAAGAAUAAGGACCGGCUAACUCCGUGCCAGCAGCCG